CAAGGAAUUUUCGUCAAUGGGGGCAACCCUGAACGAGCAACGCCGCGUGGGCGAAGAAGUCCUUCGGGAUGUAAAGCCCUUUUCCCUUUGAAGAAAGAAAGACGGUAGGAGGGGAAUAAGCAUCGGCUAACUACGUGCCAGCAGCCGCGGUAAUACGUAGGAUGCAAGCGUUGUCCGGAAUUAUUGGGCGUAAAGAGCGCGCAGGCGGUCUAUCAAGUCAGAUGUGAAAUAUCCCGGCUUAACCGGGAGGGGUCAUUUGAAACUGAUAGACUAGAGUACAGCAGAGGAUAGUGGAAUUCCCGGUGUAGUGGUGAAAUGCGUAGAUAUCGGGAGGAACACCAGUGGCGAAGGCGACUAUCUGGGCUGAAACUGACGCUGAGGCGCGAAGGCUAGGGGAGCAAACAG
rnacentral:rRNA from 1 species